GACGAACGCUGGCGGCGUGCCUAAUACAUGCAAGUUGAGCGAUGAAGAUUGGUGCUUGCACCAAUUUGAAGAGCAGCGAACGGGUGAGUAACGCGUGGGGAAUCUGCCUUUGAGCGGGGGACAACAUUUGGAAACGAAUGCUAAUACCGCAUAACAACUUUAAACAUAAGUUUUAAGUUUGAAAGAUGCAAUUGCAUCACUCAAAGAUGAUCCCGCGUUGUAUUAGCUAGUUGGUGAGGUAAAGGCUCACCAAGGCGAUGAUACAUAGCCGACCUGAGAGGGUGAUCGGCCACAUUGGGACUGAGACACGGCCCAAACUCCUACGGGAGGCAGCAGUAGGGAAUCUUCGGAAAUGGACGGAAGUCUGACCGAGCAACGCCGCGUGAGUGAAGAAGGUUUUCGGAUCGUAAAACUCUGUUGGUAGAGAAGAACGUUGGUGAGAGUGGAAAGCUCAUCAAGUGACGGUAACUACCCAGAAAGGGACGGCUAACUACGUG
rnacentral:rRNA from 1 species